CGGGAGAACGCGAUUGCACCUGGACUGCAGAAUGACAGCUCCACAAGGGCAGGAAUUUGCCUGUUUGUCACUGCUGUGCUCCAGGCACCCCGUGAGUUCUCAGAGUCUGUCAAAGAUCAGGGUGUGCGGACAUGACCCAGCUCCCAGGAUCCACAUCAAACAGGCUGCUUAUGAAAACCAUUUUAAAUUAGAAAAGUCACAGAUUCUCUCUUGGAAUCUACCACCGAAGAUACGAAUUGUGCCCAUUUUACAGACAUGGAAAUGGAGGCUCAGAAAGGCGAAGUCCCACGUCUGGGAGAUGCCCCAGCCAGGAUGUGAAGUGGCUGCCCAGAGCCCGCCCGGCAUGCAUGCAUGUCCACAGAGUUGCACGUUUGUGCAAAGCUGUGAGCGUGCACACUGACGCGCGCGUGGGUUGACACGCGCCUGUAUGACAGCGCCCAUCUGUGCCUGCCUCUGCCCUCUCUCUGUGGUCGGGGGCGGGGGCCGGGCACCUGAGG